GUUCUCCCUGCGGCGGCACGGGCAGCGUGAGCUGGCCGGCACGGCCCCAGGACCACCUGUCCACUCCCAGAACUCGCUCAGCCAGCUGCUCCUGUGCAGCUGGCUCCUUCUUUUCCUGCCCGCACCUUGCACACUCCCUCCACCAACCUGCAUCUGUUUUGCUACAUUCCACUUCUGUGGGAAUUUGCCAAUUUCCACCCAUUUUAAAACUAGAUAAGCGUGAUCUUGUUUCACAAUCUCAUUACGACUGCUUUAAUGAUUAGGACAUGGUGCCGUCCUCUUUUCACAUCUGUGAUGUGGGUUAUAUGUGCCUUCCCCCCAUUUGAAACUGUCUCGCAGAUUUGUCCACUCUCUUCGUUGGUUGAAGAUGAAACUUUGUUGAUCCUAUUUUAGAUUUUUCUACUUUACUGAGUUUACUUUUAUAUUCUCCCACGUUGUUAGGAUUUGUUUUGCUGCCCUUUUUCUAACUUCAUGAGAUGGUUGCUGAGCUCAUGAUUUUGCAGCUUUUCUUUUCUAAUAUGUGUGUUUUAGGUUAGGCAUUGCCCUCCAAGUAUCGCAUUAGCUGAAUCUCACAGCUUUCAUAUGUAUUACUUUAAUUAUCAUGCAGUUACAUUUUCUUUAAGAUUAUUUAUUUAUUUAUUUAUUUGAGGGAGAGAGCGCAAGUUGGGGGGGAUGGAAGGAGAGGGAUGGACAGACUCCACACUGAGCAUGAGGUGGAUGGGGGGCUUGAUCUCACCUGAGAUCACGAAGGGAGCGGAAAUCAAGAGUCAGAUGCUCAAGGGACUGAGCCAUCCGGCACCCAUUUAUGCAAUUACAUUUUCUGAUGUCCACUGUAUCUACUUUGAUCUGUGGAUUAGUUGGAAGUAUAUUUCUUGAAUUUAUAAACAUCUGGGGAUUUUUUUCUAGUCAUCUUUAUUUCUACCAUUGCUUUGGAGACAGAGAGUAUACUGGUAUAAUUUCAGUUCUUUGAAAUUUGCUAAAAGACCCAGUAUUUGGUCAGUUUUUGCAGAUGUUCCAUGUGUUCCUGAAGAGAAUGUGUUUCCUGCAGUUGUUCAGUGGAGUGUUCUAUAAUUGUCCAGUAAAUUCUGUGGUUCAAAUACUUUUUUUCCCCUUGUUUCUAGCCAUUACUAAGAGAGCUUUGUUAAAAUGUCCUACUUUGGUUGUCAAUUAAUCCAUUUCUCCUUGUAUUUCUGUGUUCUUUAAGUAUAGGAUAUGUUCAAAUUUAGAACUCAUCUUAAUGAAUUGAACUUUUAUCAUUAUGUCCCUCUUACCUCCCAUCUUUUUGUUUUAAACGUCUGUUUUGUGACAUUACUAUAGCUAUAGCAGCUUUUGUUAUUUCUGUGGACAUAUCUUUUUCCAUCCUGUUAUUCCAAUCUUUAUUUUCUUACUUCGAUGUAGCUCUUAUAAACCACAUAUAGUUGGAUUUUUAAACCUCAUCUGAAAUCUUGUAUCUGUAAUGGGAGCAAUUAAUGUAAUUACUGAUAUAUUGGAUUUAAAUCUAUCUUAUUUUGUUUUUUCUUUUUGUUCUCCUUUUUUGGAUCUCAGGUACACAGCUUUGGAUUAGUCAUGAUCCUUACUACACGACACCCUCUUUUUAUUGGUCCUUGCAUGACCUGCUUGUUUUAGUGCAAACUGACCACCAGAAGAACCUCUAAGCAAAAUGUAGAAUCCUGACAAAACCUACAUCUAACCAUAUGGAAAACUCACCAGUCUAUCCCCUUCUCAGGAAUUUCUCUUGAGUAUAUACCUAGAAGUGGAACUGCUGGGCCAUAGAGUCUGCAAUAUUCUUCUUUAGGAAGUAAGGCCAACCUGCUUUUCAACAUGGUGGCACCAAUUCACAUUCACACCAGUGAUGCAUAAGAAAUGUUGUGGAUUUGUAUCUUCUUCAACACUUGAUACUGUCAGACUUUUUCAUUUUUUCUUAAUUAAAUGAAGGCAAAAUGGUCUUAUUGUGAUUUUGAUUUGCAUUUCCCUGAUUACCAAUGAUAUUGAUCAUUUUAUAUGAUGACUGGUUAUGUGUAUUUGCUCUCAUGUGAAAUUCUUGCUUGUGACUCUUGCACUUUUUCUGCCAGACUGUUUUGCUUUAUUCAUGGAUGAAGUAUUCUUGAUUUUUUUUUUAGUUAUUAUUUUUAAUUGUGGCCAAAUUCUCAAUACUGUUCUGUUGUCAGGUAUUAAGUAUUGUGAUUAUCUUCUGCAAGUUUAUAUAUUGCCUUUUCUUUAAAUGUGUAUGCACACUGUCUUUAAAUUGUCUCUUAAAGAGCAAAACUUCUUCUAAGGAAAAAAAAAAGAGGGAUGCCUGGGUGGCUUAGCCAUUAACCAUCUGCUUUUGGCUCAGGUCAUGAUCCCAGAGUCCUGGGAUGGAGCCCCACAUGGGACUCCCUGCGCAGCAAGAAACCUGUUUCUCCCUUUCCCGUUUCCCUUGCUUCCCCUUUCUUCUCUCACUGUGUCUUUCUCUGUCAAAUAAAUAAAAUCUUAGAAAAAAAUAAGAAAAAAAUAUUUUAAUAUAGUUGCAUGCAUGGUGUUCUGUGUCUUAAGAUCUAUUUCCUUAAGGUGUAAAAGAUAAUCAUCAGCAUUUUCUUCUUAGAGUUUAACUUGUUGUUUAACAGCAAAUCAAGCUUAAUACUUUUCUAAGAGCUUUGCCUGAGUCAAUUUCUGUUUUAAUGUAAGGGAGAGAUUCAGUUAAUCUUUUUCCAUAUGUUUAACCAUUUUACCAAGUCCUUUUAGUGAACAGUGCCAUCUUUCCACAUGAUCUCAUGUCACCUUUGUUAUAUGCCAAAGAUAUAUACAUCCUUGGGUCUGUUUCAAGGCUCAUUGUUUUAUUGGAGCUACAAAAUUGGGACUUACAAAAUAAGUCCCAAUAUCUAGUAGGGAUAGUCCUUAUUUCUCUGUUGUUCUUCAGAAAUAGUCUGGCCCAGGGGCCCCUGGGUGGCUCAGUUGGUUAAGCAUCUGUCUUCGGCUCAGGUCAUAAUCCCAGAGUCAUGGAACUGAGCCCCACAUCAGGUUCCCUGCUCAGCGGGGAGUCUGCUUCUCCCUCUCCCUGUGUCCCUCCUCUCUCCCCCAUGCACUCUCUCUCUCUAAUAAAUAAAUAAAUAAAUAAAUCUUUAUAAGAAAAUUCUGGCCCUUUAAAAAAUCUAAAAAAUCACUAUUAUCAAGCAAUGAAAAUCACUAUUGGGAUUUUGUUUGAUCUCUUUGAAUGAUAACAUCUUUGUAAUAAUAAAUCUUUCUAUUUAUGAA